rnacentral:rRNA from 1 species
UGGGGAAUUUUGACAAUGGGGAAACCCUGAUCCAGCCAUCCCGCGUGUGCGAUGAAGGCCUUCGGGUUGUAAAGCACUUUUGGCAGGAAAGAAACGUCGCGGGUUAAUACCCCGCGAAACUGACGGUACCUGCAGAAUAAGCACCGGCUAACUACGUGCCAGCAGCCGCGGUAAUACGUAGGGUGCAAGCGUUAAUCGGAAUUACUGGGGCGUAAAGCGUGCGCAGGCGGUUCGGAAAGAAAGAUGUGAAAUCCCCAGAGCUUAACUUUGGAACUGCAUUUUUAAACUACCGGGCUAGAGUGUGUCAGAGGGAGGUGGAAUUCCGCGUGUAGCAGUGAAAUGCGUAGAUAUGCGGAGGAACACCGAUGGCGAAGGCAGCCUCCUGGGAUAACACUGACGCUCAUGCACGAAAGCGU